UACGUAGGUGGCAAGCGUUUGUCCGGAUUUACUGGGCGUAAAGAGCGCGCAGGCGGUCGUUCAAGUCGCGUGUGAAAGCCCCCGGCUCAACUGGGGAGGGUCACGCGAUACUGAUCGACUCGAAGGCAGGAGAGGGUAGUGGAAUUCCCGGUGUAGUGGUGAAAUGCGUAGAUAUCGGGAGGAACACCAGUGGCGAAGGCGACUACCUGCCUGUUCUUGACGCUGAGGCGCGAAAGCUA
rnacentral:rRNA from 1 species